GAUGAACGCUGGCGGCGUGCUUAACACAUGCAAGUCGAGCGAGAAGUUUUGAAAAGAUUCUUCGGAUGAAAUUUAAAAUGGAAAGCGGCGGACGGGUGAGUAACGCGUAGGCAACCUGCCCCAUACAAAGGGAUAGCAUUUGGAAACGAAUAUUAAUACCUUAUGAAACUUAACUAGUGCAUGCUAGGUAGGUCAAAGAUUUAUCGGUAUGGGAUGGGCCUGCGUCUGAUUAGCUAGUUGGUGAGGUAACGGCUCACCAAGGCGACGAUCAGUAGCCGACCUGAGAGGGUGAACGGCCACAUUGGAACUGAGACACGGUCCAAACUCCUACGGGAGGCAGCAGUGGGGAAUAUUGCACAAUGGGGGAAACCCUGAUGCAGCAACGCCGCGUGAACGAUGAAGGCCUUUGGGUCGUAAAGUUCUGUUCUAGGUGAUGAAAACUGACAGUAACCUAGGAGAAAACCCCGGCGAACUCCGU
rnacentral:rRNA from 1 species